rnacentral:lncRNA from 1 species
UGCGUUUUUUAGGUUUAAAACUGAGACAGAACGUUGAGAAUGUCGUUGAGAGCAGUGGUGUAGGAGAAAACAAUGUGUUGAGAUCUUUGGCAGGAAAGAUGGCUUUGUACAUAGUGGAUUCGAAAAGUGAAAAUACGUCAAAGAAGUACUUCGCCGGAUUUAAUCGUUGGAAGUCAUUCAUUAAUGAACAUGGUUUUUCUGAUUUACCAGCCGAAC